rnacentral:lncRNA from 1 species
GCAGUUAUUGCUGUUGAUGUUAUGUAAGAGGUUGGUUGUGAAUGAUCACUCUCCUCAUUCUUCCUUCUCCACCAGUACUAGGUCCUGUGAUGGUGAAGUGGAUAACAGCAACAGCUAAAAGAGCCCAGGCUUAUGAUGUUCCAGACUCUAUGCUAAGCACUUUAACUGGUUGAUCUCAUUUCAACUCUCCCAACAAUCCUAUCAGGAAGGUACUAUUAUUAUUCCCAUUUUAUAGAUGAGGCAACUGAAGCUGAGGUUUAGAGGCUGACACAGGGUGUGUGAGUCAUAAAUGAUAGAUCUAGGGUAUGAAACUGGGCAGUCUGCCUCCAGAGCCUAUGUUAUACUGCUUGAAGAGUUUAGUUUCCCAGCUUUUAAUAUUUCUUUCUUGAACUAAAGAAGGAAAGCUGGUUGGCUUACAUAUGGAGUGUAUCCAGAAGUCAUUUAAUCUUAUGCUCUUUUCUUCUCUUUAUACAUGGUACAGAUUUGGCACUGAUACUCAUGUUUACAUGCAAAACUCUAAGAAACUCAGAUGUUCAGAUUCAGCUUCUGCGUGCAAAGAAUUUUAUGAAUGCCAAUGCUCACAAAUGGGUCCUGCAGCUAUUUCUCCUUUCCCUCCUUCUUCAUCCAUUGAAAAGAGAGCCUUGAAUACUGUAGAAACAUGCCUGCAUUUACUGGAGGUUUUAGAUGCCACGCACCUUGGACGGAAGCAAGGCCUUUCAUCCAUCCAGCAAGGGCUUUCCCUGGAAUUGAGCUGUUGGCAGAUGCAGCCCCAUUCCAGCCAGAUCCAUACACAAAAUGCUUUAUCCCCAAGCAAUUGUUUUUAUGUUUUUCC